rnacentral:rRNA from 1 species
ACUGAAUAGAUACCCAGGUAGUCCACGCCCUAAACGAUGUCAACUAGGUGUUGGAGGAGCAAAUCUUUCAGUACCGCAGCUAACGCGUGAAGUUGACCGCCUGGGGAGUACGGUCGCAAGAUUAAAACUCAAAGGAAUUGACGGGGACCCGCACAAGCGGUGGAUGAUGUGGAUUAAUUCGAUGCAACGCGAACAACCUUACCUACCCUUGACAUGUCUGGAAUCCUGCUGAAAGGCGGGAGUGCCCGAAAGGGAACCGGAACACAGGUGCUGCAUGGCUGUCGUCAGCUCGUGUCGUGAGAUGUUGGGUUAAGUCCCGCAACGAGCGCAACCCUUGUCCUUAGUUGCUACGCAAGGGCACUCUAAGGAGACUGCCGGUGACAAACCGGAGGAAGGUGGGGAUGACGUCAAGUCCUCAUGG